rnacentral:piRNA from 1 species
GUGUGUACUACCAAUCCCACCAAGGCU